CAGAGCUCUGUUCGACCAGAGAGGAGACUGAGCGUGCUGGCAGGGAGCCAAGAGCUGGUUAGAGCUGCAAGGACACCGCCUGCACAGGAUGCCCGGGGCUGGGCAUUACCUGCUGCAAUGACAACAUCUGGCUGGAUGGCAGAGAGCUGACAGACCGUCGCGACGUCCCAGUCCAGCUGGGCCACUGUCACCCUGGGGCUGUCUAAGUUGGCAGUGAUAUCUGCACCUAAUGAGAGGCCAUUGAGAAGGACAUUCCCUCAGAGCUGCUAGAGGACCCAGCUGUGACAGUCCCUGAAGAUGUAUGCCCGGGGGUGGCACAUCUUGCAGAUGGCCAGGCCUGUGAGGCCAGCACCACUGCCAAGCUCUAGGACAGUCCUGGUGGGAGGAAAGGGGGUCAUGUCUGCGACUGCACCAGGGUAAGCCUGCCUCGGUGCCCUGCCCUGUGCCCUGAGGUCACCUAUCAGUGAAGGCUGCUGGGUUCUCGAUGGCCCAUUCUGCAAGGUAGAGGGCGGCAUCCCAUGUGACCAGGACUGUGAUGCCGUGGGAGAUGAUGGCUGUGCUCUUGGAGAGUGUGACUGAGCCUCCCGAGGGCAGCACCAAGAGAAGGCGAGAGAGUCAGUCCAGCGAUCAGAAGGCAAGUGGCUUAGAAGACAAGCAGCCAUCCACCACAUGGCUGAAUAAACCAUGACAGGACAAAUCGCCACUCAGCAAUGAGAAGCAGCUAACUGUUGACAUGCCAACAGCUU
rnacentral:lncRNA from 10 species